UACGUAGGGUGCGAGCGUUGUCCGGAAUUACUGGGCGUAAAGAGCUCGUAGGUGGUUUGUCGCGUUGUUCGUGAAAUCCCACGGCUUAACUGUGGGCGUGCGGGCGAUACGGGCAGACUGGAGUACUGCAGGGGAGACUGGAAUUCCUGGUGUAGCGGUGGAAUGCGCAGAUAGUCAGGGAGGAACACCGGUGGCGAAGGCGGGUCUCUGGGCAGUAACUGACGCUGGAGGAGCGAAAGCCGUGGGGAGCGAACAGGA
rnacentral:rRNA from 1 species